UCUCUCUCUUUAAGUUCACCUAGCCGUCCUCUUUCUAUUCCCACUCCUAUCUCUCCUCGCAGACCACCACUGAUUCACCACUAUCGUCACCCAUCACUGCAGCUGCACCAUCACCACCCCAUCGUCGUCCCCUUCACGGUUCUUCCACCAACACUCCGCCACUCUCCGUCAGUCACCUCAUCCACCACCCCGACUUCACCGCCGUCGCGAGUCUGGGCCCUGGCGACCACCACGAUGGCCCUGGAACCUCGAUUGUCCUCCUCGAGUCCUCGACGACAUCCCAAAUGAUUGAGAUCUCGAACGUCCUGCAAGAAAUUAAAACCCAGAAGCUUCGGGAUUUCAUCCCGCAAAAUGGAGUCGUCUGCUUCGGCGGGAUUGGAGUUGGGGUCUCCGCCUCCAAAGGCAAGAAGAAGUUUAUGGAAGAUACCCACAAGAUUGUUUCUUGCUUACAAGGCCAGAAAUCAAAGAAAAGCAGAGAGGGAUGCAGUCCGAGACGGAGCAGGGAGGGAUGCAGUCCGAGACAGAGCAAGUGCCACCAGAGUCGGAAAGCAUGGAGGAGGUGUUGCUUGUGAGGAUGUUGGCCAUGGUGAGAAACGUGGCGGUGCCGGCGCGGGGCUAGGUGGAGAAGCUGUGGUGCGACGACGAAGGCAGCAUGGCGGUGGUUCUGGAGUCCUUUCCGUAGCGGUUUCGCAAAAAAAAAAAAAAAAAAAAAAAAAAAAAAAACCAAGGACCGGUGGACCCGGCCCGGACCGGCCCGUU